UGAGGAAUAUUGGUCAAUGGGCGAGAGCCUGAACCAGCCAAGUCGCGUGAAGGAUGAAGGUCUUAUGGAUUGUAAACUUCUUUUAUAAGGGAAUAAAAAAGAUCACGUGUGGUUUAUUGCAUGUACCUUAUGAAUAAGCAUCGGCUAACUCCGUGCCAGCAGCCGCGGUAAUACGGAGGAUGCGAGCGUUAUCCGGAUUUAUUGGGUUUAAAGGGUGCGUAGGCGGUUUGUUAAGUCAGUGGUGAAAGUUUUCGGCUCAACCGGAAAAUUGCCAUUGAAACUGACAGACUUGAGUGUAAACGAGGUAGGCGGAAUUCGUGGUGUAGCGGUGAAAUGCUUAGAUAUCACGAAGAACUCCAAUUGCGAAGGCAGCUUACUAGGCUACAACUGACGCUGAAGCACGAAAGCGUGGGGAUCAAACA
rnacentral:rRNA from 1 species